UACGUAGGGGGCUAGCGUUGUCCGGAUUUAUUGGGCGUAAAGAGCGUGUAGGCGGCCAGGUAGGUCUGGCGUGAAAACUCGAGGCUUAACCUCGAGAUGUCAUCGGAAACCAUCUGGCUAGAGUCCGGAAGAGGAGAGUGGAAUUCCUGGUGUAGCGGUGAAAUGCGCAGAUAUCAGGAAGAACACCAAUGGCGAAAGCAGCUCUCUGGGACGGUAUUGACGCUGAGACGCGAAAGCGUGGGGAGCGAACAGG
rnacentral:rRNA from 1 species